AAUUCCUUGCCUCAUGUUGAUAAUAUAAGAGUGAGGUCAUCAAGAUGAUGCAAGGGAGCGACCAGUACACUGCAUGCUUCAACAGUGUUGUUGUAUUGUUGCGUAUACAGUAUAGCAGCUUUAACAGCUGUUAGAUUUGACUUGUACUGUCAUCAUAGGAACUGAUCUCUAUAUGUUCCCUCUAACUGAUGCCUCUGUCGUUCCUUUAACUGAUUUCAUUGGAACUUGUGCCAGAUAUUUGACUUGUUCUGAGCACUGAGAGGCUUUGUAUCAGGUUCCCUAUCUGGUUCUCAUAUGAAGUUUGUUAAAUUAUCAAAACAAAAAGGCACAUAACUUAUCAAGUACCUUUGUAACUGUGGUAUUAGAUAUGUCAUGAUAUUUCUACGGGUAUAAAAGCAAGUCAUUAAGUGUUAUUUGGAAAGUUUAAAAUUAAAAAGUUUCCAAAUAUAAAAAAGUGUCAUUCUUUUUGGAACAAAUAAAGAAAACAAGUGUCCGAAUAAAUGGAACAGAGGGAUCAUUAAAGUAAUGUGGAGUACCUGUAUUAUUUGUUGUAUUUUAUAGUCUCAUUUUGCAGGAGUUGAACCAUAUAUAACACUCUACCACUGGGACCUUCCUCAAGCUCUGGAAGAUAAAUACAACGGAUGGCUCAGUCCAGAGAUCAUGUAAAUAGCUUAAUUUACAUUACUUCUCUAUCUUUGCUAAAACAAAAUGUUGUAAAACAUAAAAUCAACUUAGAUCCCUUAACUCAUUGCACACAAGACUUCGUUAUAUAUGCAGAGACGUGUUUUCUGGCAUUUGGCGACAGAGUGAAACAUUGGAUCACGCUCAACGAAUCCCAUAAUUUUGUGCAACAAGGCUAUGAUCUCGAGGGCGAAGCUACACUUUGGUAAGGUUGUCGGAAAAUUACACUGUGUAUAUAGGUAAAAUAUCAGAUUUUAGAAGUACAUAACAUAUAUUGAACACCCUUUGCCGGAAAUUUUUUCACUUCUUUCAAGUUUGAACAUCCUUGAGGAAAUUUCUGGCUUCGCCACUGUAUGAUCUAGGCAGCCAGCCACCGGCGCGUUGCUCUAUCCUACUUCGUGCCUUUUGUAGUGAAGGGAAU
rnacentral:lncRNA from 1 species